UACGUAGGCAGCAAGCGUUGUUCGGAAUUACUGGGCGUAAAGCGAGUGUAGGCGGUUCGUUAAGUUUGGUGUGAAAUCUCCCGGCUCAACUGGGAGGGUGCGCCGAAGACUGUCGAGCUAGAGUGUGGGAGAGGUAGGCGGAAUUCCUGGUGUAGCGGUGAAAUGCGUAGAUAUCAGGAGGAACACCUGCGGUGUAGACGGCUUACUGGACCACGACUGACGCUGCAACUCGAAAGUGUGGGGAGCAAACAGG
rnacentral:rRNA from 1 species